rnacentral:rRNA from 1 species
GUGGGGAAUCUUGCGCAAUGGAGGCAACUCUGACGCAGCCAUGCCGCGUGCAGGAAGAAGGCGCUACGCGUUGUAAACUGCUUUUAACCGGGAAGAAACCCCAGGACGUGUCCUGGGUUGACGGUACCGGAGGAAUAAGCACCGGCUAACUUCGUGCCAGCAGCCGCGGUAAUACGAAGGGUGCAAGCGUUAUCCGGAUUCAUUGGGUUUAAAGGGUGCGUAGGCGGAGCGUUAAGUCAGUGGUGAAAUCCUGCAGCUUAACUGUAGACUUGCCAUUGAUACUGGCGCUCUUGAGUGCGCUUGAAGUGGGCGGAAUGUGCCGUGUAGCGGUGAAAUGCUUAGAUAUGGCACAGAACACCAAUUGCGAAGGCAGCUCACUAAGGCGAUACUGACGCUGAGGCACGAAAGCGUGGGGAUCGAACAAGAUUAGAAACCCUGGUAGUCC